rnacentral:rRNA from 1 species
CUUUGGUGAUCGUACUGCAAACCGACUCAGGUGGACGGGGUGAAUAUCCCAAGGCGCGUGAGGGAACCCUGGUUAAGGAACUCUGCAAAUUGACACCGUAACUUCGGGAGAAGGUGUGCCGCUGGCGGUUAGUGACUUCGCGUCACGAAGCUGUCGGUGGUCGCAGUGAAAUGGCGGUUGUGACUGUUUACUAAAAACACAGGACUCUGCGAAGUCGUAAGACGACGUAUAGGGUCUGAUGCCUGCCCGGUGCUGGAAGGUUAAGGGGAUAUGUCAGCGCAAGCGAAGCAUUGAACCGAAGCCCCAGUAAACGGCGGCCGUAACUAUAACGGUCCUAAGGUAGCGAAAUUCCUUGUCGGGUAAGUUCCGACCUGCGCGAGGGCAUAACAACAUCCGCACUGUCUCGACCAGGGACUCAGCGAAAUUACAUUGGGGGUGAAGAUGCCCUCUACCCGCGGAAAGACGGAAAGACCCCAUGAACCUUUACUGCAACUUGGCAGUGAUUUUCGGGUUGUUCUGCGUAGGAUAGGUGGGAGGCUUUGAAGCCGGGCUUCCGGGUUCGGCAGAGCCAACGUUGAAAUACCACCCUGAAUAAUCUGGAAAUCUAACCUGCGCCCAUGAUCUGGGCGAGGGACACUGCCUGGUGGGCAGUUUGACUGGGGCGGUCGCCUCCUAAAUUGUAACGGAGGCGUGCGACGGUUCCCUCAGGCUGAUUGGAAACCAGCCGUAGAGUGCAAACGCAUAAGGGAGCUUUACUGCGAGACUGACAAGUCGAACAGUUGCGAAAGCAGGUGUUAGUGAUCCGGUGGUACCACAUGGAAGGGCCAUCGCUCAUCGGAUAAAAGGUACUCUGGGGAUAACAGGCUGAUCGCGCCUGAGAGUUCACAUCGGCGGCGCGGUUUGGCACCUCGAUGUCGGCUCAUCGCAUCCUGGGGCUGGAGCAGGUCCCAAGGGUUUGGCUGUUCGCCAAUUAAAGCGGUACACGAGCUGGGUUUAAAACGUCGUGAGACAGUUUGGUCCCUAUCUUCCGUGGGCGCAGGACACUUGAGAGGAGCUAUCCAUAGUACGAGAGGACCUGGAUGGACGAACCUCUGGUGCUCCGGUUGUCACGCCAGUGGCAUAGCCGGGUAGCCAUGUUCGGAACAGAUAACCGCUGAAGGCAUAUAAGCGGGAAGCUGGCCUCAAGACUAGGUGUCCCUGACGCAAGUCACUAAAGGCCCCUCGAAGACUACGAGGUUGAUAGGCUCGGUGUGGAAGCGCUGCGAGGCGUGGAGCUAACGAGUACUAAUAGGCCGUGCGACUUGACCUC